rnacentral:lncRNA from 1 species
UCACUUGUUCCGUACACAUUAUUCGUAGCAGUACUAUUGUCAUUAUUAUUAUUUUCCUGUCUUAAUAAGCUGUCUUUAUCUCAACCCACAGGCUUCACUUUCCCGUUUCUCUCCGCAGUCCCAGAGAGGGAAGGGGGAGGAUGAGCGAAGGGCUGUGUGGUGCUGAGCUGCUGGCCGAGUUAAACCAUAGCACAGGGUGGUCCCCAGGCACAAGGGAGCACGGGGACCCCACACACUUGGGAGCAAGCUCCCUGCUGAGCCCCCAGCUUGGCAGCAUCCCUGUUGGGCCUGGGGAGGUCUGCACCUGCAGCCUGCAUCCCCCUGGCGGGGGGGGCUGGGGACCCCUCCCUGGGGGGCUGUGCAGGGCUGGCAUGUCCCCGUGUUCGGACACUGUCCCCAUGACCCCUCUGUGCCUGCACGUCCCUGGUAAAAUGCACGGACUAGGAUGAGCAAACAUCCCCACAGCUGCUCCCCGGCACUGGGAGCUGGGGGGGCUGCGGGGCCCUUCAGAAGACCCUGGCCGGGUGGGAAAUGGGGUCCCCGGCCACUUGGGGGGACACAGCUUGGCUGCGGAGCGGGUUGGGGCCCUGGGAGAACCCCAGCCCCACUGACAUCACGGUGACAGCACAGUGUCCCCAUGGCUACACAACAUCACGCGUAGGCUCCGUGGGUGCCAGCGGCCGCAGCAGGAGGAGGCAGCGCCGCACCCCCAGUACCACCAUGUGCCGCUGGGCCCCCCGGCCGCGCGCCCCACCAAGGCGGCGCAAGAGGAGCCCCCGGCCCAGCAGCCGGCGCAGGCGGCGCCGUGGGAAGAGGCAGCGGAGACGUUUCCAAGCGAAGACGGUGUAUUACUACCGGAGGAACAGGGCCCUGUGAGCGCUCGCCAUGCCUGCGCCCCUGGAGCACCCGUGGGCGCUGCCAUCCGCCCCAGCCGUGCUCCCCGAAGGCUGCUGGGGAUUCACCUGCCAUUAAAUCCUGCGUGUCAUCCUGCACAGCCUCCUCUGUCCUUCCUGGUGCCGCCGGCCCCAACGCACUCACCCCUGGUCCCUCCCAGACCCCAUCCGCCUCGGGGUCACCUCCCUCUCAGCCCUGCCCGGCCCCUGGCUCCCAGCCCCAGCACGGGGGGAGCUCACCGUGAGCACCGUGGGUGGGUUUGGGGGUGGCCCACCGGGGGCCGUGGCUGCCCACAGGUUGCACACAAGGGCUGGCAUCCUGGGCACAGGGGGGCUCUGGGCUGGGUCCUGAUGGUGCCCCCACUGCUUCAGGGUGACAUGGAGAUGGGGGGACCCAGGACACAGACACCCGGCACGCACACUGCUCCGUGCCACGCAGGGGCUGCUCCUGGCCCCGCUCCGACCCAAGCAGCCCCUGCACCCAGCGGGAGUAGGACAGGGACAGCAUGGGGACAGGGCUUCGACGGCUGGGGUCAAUGACACUGCCGUGACA